UGUAUAUUGACUAAUGCCUAUAAAAAUCAAUCAACCCCAACACCCAAAGCCGUCCAGGAGUGUAGAGUACUUUACAUCACCGGGUUGAGGCCGUUUUCUCCUUCUUACAUCCUUCCUAGUACACUAAGUUAAAAGCUGACAUCUUUCCCAGUACAUUACGCAGGCCUUCCGUUGGGGUCUGAGGGAAAAACGCUAGCCUCUGCAUGGGGUUCCUGCGGGCCUUCAACUUCAAGCAGCCAAUUUACAUAUGCUGUGAUAACUGAUAUACCGGUAUACAUAUAAUUUAUAUACUACAUUUCAUUAUAGAGCGUUUGCUCGCUCUCCCUCAUUCCGCCCCUCGCCAGUCGCUAUUUUGCUUUGUAAACACAAAAAUAAGGCUAGUUCUAAUGUCAGUAGAACAAGAGCUGGUGGCUGAGGCUGCUUUGUUGGCUUGGGACGCGAGUUUUCGCGCUGCUGACCGCUCGUUGACCAGCUCGGCGACGCUGCUGCUGAGACGUCAGCUGAAGCCAGCUAUCACAUGAGACUUACAACUGUGCCUCAUAAAUGAUCAGCUGUGCUUUUAAUGUUUUAAUGGGGAAGUCUUGGUCAAAAACGCCAUACAUUCAACAUCACGUUCAGCACGACCGUUGUCGCGUCUCACGGAAGUCCACAGGUUAGUCCACAGGUUAAAAUGAAGACGGGAGGCUUUAAACCUGCAGCCUGGAAUGCCCGCCCGGCCAUAUGUCACAACCCCGUGUGUGUAUGUGUACUUGCAGGAUCCUCCGCCAUGCUCUUGAGGACGAUUCUAGGAGCCGUUCGAGGGUGAGUCCAUGGAAAAUAUGUUUGAGGAGAUGCCGUAGAUGCAGGUAGAUGCAGGUCCCCAGCGGCUGCAACCCUGGCGCAAGAUGGUUCGCAACCCCUUCACUCAUGUUGUGUUCGCUAGUCGGAGCCCCAGCCUUCAAGAGAUGACUGUUUGCUGCCUCCCUUACUAGCGCUGUAUGGUAUGUAUGUCUAUAUCACUUCCUGGUACCUCUAGUCCGUGUCACAUACCCGCCUGCUGCCACACGCCCCUUCCCCCAGGUCGGCUGGCUGGACUGCCGCCACACCUCCAACAUUGUGUUUAGCAACGGUGAGUGUCCGCAUCACCAGUGGGCAUACACACCGAAACACAUACAGGCCCGCUUCAUGAGAUAGGUCCGGUGCACUACCAAGCACUCUGUUCUUGGCCGGCAGCCUUGCAUUGGCAUUGGCACCUUGCGGCAGGAGUGCAGGGUGUGUUCACAUGUGUGCACGCGUGCAUGCAGGUGCAGCCAGUGGAGGCAGAACUACAGGAGCUAGCAUGACACGAGCUGUCCGGCACUAGAGUUGGAGACGGGCGCGGUGGCACCAGUGGCGGCUGCUGUGGAGGCGGGUGAUGUGCCGACUGCAGUGGAGGCGGGUGUCAAGGUGGUGGGAGACGUCAUGCCCAGCAGACACGCCAGUGGUUGUUGUUGCACGUUUGACACAUUCAUACCAUUUAGACAUCAUAUGACAGGCUUGGGUUAAUGGCACAGACGUAAUAUAGUGUUGUAGACAGUGGCAGACCAGGAGAGCAAGACUGUGGUGGGCUUUGAAUGCACGGAGACUCAGCUGGAGAGUGCCAAGGAGUAGGGAAGCAGAGGGCUAACUGAGUAUGGUGUUGUUGGUGAGUUGGACUGGGAACACAAGGCAGGUGACCUCCUCAAGGCAGUUGACAUGGGUUGGUGAGGGCACUUGGUACAAAAUGCAGCAGGCUGAUGUGUGUGGUCACUGCUAGGGCGGGGCUUGUAUAUCAAGGCGGCAUCAUGUAAAGGAGACACUUUACAGGCCACAAUGAACAACCCUAAACCCAGGCUGGCAGGCG
rnacentral:lncRNA from 1 species